ACCAAAUUAUAAAAUGUCACCUGGUGUAAAAGGGUUCAAAAACAUGCACAUACAUGAUGCUACAAAGAAUAGAAGUAUUGUUCCUGAAAACAAGGGCCAUGAUGGUGCUGACAGGAAGUUUGAUGUGCAUUGCUUUUGCAUUUGUAGUUGUGUUUGUUCUUUAAAUGCUGACAUAAUGAUAUGGAAGAAACAUGUUAUAUUGUGAAUUAUAUUUUAUUUUCUGAUCUUUUGUUUAGGAAACUCUUAGGGUUUGUAUUAGACUCCUAUUUUAAUUAAAAUUGGUCUGGUAAAAUCCGACUUUAGGGAUAUAUGGUCAGGCAAGUCAUCAAGUCAUUAAGAUUUGAUUUAUUAUUACUAUUAUUAUUAUUAUUUUAGCUGUUUUCUAUGUAAGAUUCUGUGGACUUCUGGAUUUUGCAUUUCAAGAAAUAUUUUAGGCAUCCAUAUGGAUAGAUUACUUGGUUGUGCAG
rnacentral:lncRNA from 1 species